rnacentral:tRNA from 2 species
ACUUAAAUAAUUUAAAUAAAAUAUUGAUUUGUGGAAUCAAAUAUAUGAUUAUAGUCAUUUUAAGUU